rnacentral:tRNA from 1 species
GGCGGGUGAGGGCGCUGGUGUGCUCGACGGUUUCAUACGCCGUUCCGGGUGGGUUCGAUUCCCACACCCGCCACCA